UACAGAGGGUGCAAGCGUUAAUCGGAGUUAUUGGGCGUAAAGCGCACGUAGGCGGCUUGGCAAGUCGGAUGUGAAAUCCCUCGGCUCAACCAAGGAAGUGCAUCCGAAACUGCUGAGCUUGAGUACUUAAGAGGAUCGCGGAAUUCCAGGUGUAGCGGUGGAAUGCGUAGAGAUCUGGAAGAACACCGGUGGCGAAGGCGGUGGUCUGGGCCAUUACUGACGCUGAGGAGCGAAAGCCAGGGGAGCGAACGGG
rnacentral:rRNA from 1 species